rnacentral:lncRNA from 1 species
AUCAAUAUAAAAAAGCAAGAGAAGUAACAUCAUUCACAACUGUACAUCAAUAUAUAAAAUAUUCACAAAAUUACACAUUGGCAUUUAUACCACAACUUCAAUAUGGAUGUCGUUCCCAAUAAAAUUAAGCCUCACAAUAGUUCAAAAAAAUGUCCAUCAGCAUGAACAUAUCACCAGUAAUAUAUCAACAGAGCCAACCUAUUAUCACAUGCACAUAAAUAUUAGACACGGAACAAAAUAGCACUUGCAUGUAUGUGGUCAUCACCUCAAAAGGGAAAUCGAAGAUCAAGACAUAAUUUCUUCAAUCACGUCAUCUCCUCCUUUUUGCUGAUGAUAUUUUUACCUAAUUACAUACAUCAUUAAGGAUAUUAGCAUCUAAUCUUAAUAUAUGAAACUUAGAUUAUUGCAAGGUAACCAACUAGACCUAUGGUUUUCUAACUAUACAACUUAUUAAUAAACGUGCCACAUGAAAUAACAUCACAUUUAAUCAUGCAAUGACCAAUUACAGUACAAACUUUUCCUUAAUUACCGUAUUAAGAACUUCUUGCAUGUCAAACUAAAUUUAUGCAUUUGAAAGUCCUAACGCUGAUCUACAAUACCGU